AUUGAACGCUGGCGGCAUGCUUUACACAUGCAAGUCGAACGGUAACAGGCCUUCGGGUGCUGACGAGUGGCGAACGGGUGAGUAAUGCAUCGGAACGUGCCCAGAGGUGGGGGAUAACGCAGCGAAAGCUGUGCUAAUACCGCAUGUGAUCUGAGGAUGAAAGCGGGGGACCAGGCAGCAAUGUUUGGCCUCGCGCCUUUGGAGCGGCCGAUGUCAGAUUAGGUAGUUGGUGGGGUAAAGGCCUACCAAGCCGACGAUCUGUAGCUGGUCUGAGAGGACGACCAGCCACACUGGGACUGAGACACGGCCCAGACUCCUACGGGAGGCAGCAGUGGGGAAUUUUGGACAAUGGGCGCAAGCCUGAUCCAGCAAUGCCGCGUGCGGGAAGAAGGCCUUCGGGCUGUAAACCGCUUUUGUACGGAACGAAAAGGCUCUGGCUAAUACCUGGGGCUGAUGACGGUACCGGAAGAAUAAGCACCGGCUAACUACGUG
rnacentral:rRNA from 1 species